UUUCCUUUUUAAAACACAACCAAUCAAAACGCCACACUAAUUCAUCACGACCUACACACGUGUUCACCGUGAAUCUUUCAACAUCUCUCUGCAGUUACAUUCAAUCUUGUACAGAAAUGUACACAGGAGCUCAUGAAAGAAGAGCUUUGAAUAACUGUGUGUAUAUGAUAUAGGGCUAGGUGUUUGCAAGACAAAUGUUUGCUUCUGAGAUGUGUUUGUGAUAUUUUGAAAGCAGUGCUUCAUUUUGCAAGAGAUGUGAGGCACUUUGCAUUUUGUGUGUGGUGUGCAGUUCUUGGAUUUGUGUGUAACAUUUUCAGAACAGAGGCAAGGUUUUGAAAAGAUGUGUAACAUAUUGACUGUGUUUAUGCAGCUGGCCACUGUUUGUGUUAGUUUCAGUAGGUGGCGCUGUGCGUGUCACAGUAACGUACCUCUACGACGCCGACGGGACGGUGGCAGCCGCUCGGCUCAAAUGCGUCCCAGACAGAGGAACGUUUCCCACAUUCUCCUGGUGUCUGAACCGUUCCUCCCUUCCAGCAGAGGGCGCUGCUCAUGCGGUCACUCAUCACGGUCAGAUCUUGAUCCUCACAGAAGUCAGUGCUGGGUUUUACGGCUGCAGGGUGAGGGACAGUUUUAACGACAGCUCAGUCUGGGUGGUGAGCGAGGACAUCUUUAUUCAGAAGACAGAUUUGGCAGCGACGCCCAUAGAGGUGAUUGCGUUGGUCUUCUGUGGUUUUCUGUCGAUUGUGAUUGUGUAUGCUCAUUCUUUAUGUUCUGGAGCACCAAGAACAGAAACAACACCUGCAAACAUCACAGUAACCAGGACGUGAUCCAGUCUGAGAUG